CAGAGUUGCAAGACUCCCUAACCAUUGUGAACCUACCUUCUACCGUUGCUUCGGCGGGCGGGCCCAGCGCCCCCCCCGGCCCCCCGCGGGCGCCCGCCGGAGGAUACCCAAACUCUUGACAUUAGUGGCCUCUCUGAGUAUUCUUUACUGAAUAAGUCA
rnacentral:misc_RNA from 1 species